GCCAGCGUCCAUAGGAAAGCAUUAUGAAUGCUUUCCUAUGUGACCGGCUGAAUGCGCGCGCAGCUCUUGCCGCGCGUGCGCAUUCAGCCCAGGAGGAGGAACGGAGGAGAGCUCUCCGCCCAGCGCUGGAAAAAGGUAAGUUUUUACCCCUUUCCCCCUUCCAGAGCCGGGCGGGAGGGGGUCCCUGAGGGUGGGGGCACCCUCAGGGCACUAUAGUGCCAGGAAAACGAGUAUGUUUUCCUGGCACUAUAG